UACGAAGGGUGCAAGCGUUAAUCGGAAUUACUGGGCGUAAAGGGUGCGUAGGCGGUUGUUUAAGUCUGUCGUGAAAUCCCCGGGCUCAACCUGGGAAUGGCGAUGGAUACUGGGCAGCUAGAGUGUGUCAGAGGAUGGUGGAAUUCCCGGUGUAGCGGUGAAAUGCGUAGAGAUCGGGAGGAACAUCAGUGGCGAAGGCGGCCAUCUGGGACAACACUGACGCUGAGGAGCGAAAGCCAGGGGAGCAAACGGG
rnacentral:rRNA from 1 species